UACAGAGGGGGCAAGCGUUAUUCGGAAUUAUUGGGCGUAAAGGGCGCGUAGGCGGCCUGACAAGUGGAAGGUGAAAUCCCUCGGCUCAACUGAGGAACUGCCCUCCAAACUGUUUGGCUUGAGACCGGGAGAGGUGAGUGGAAUUCCCAGUGUAGCGGUGAAAUGCGUAGAUAUUGGGAGGAACACCAGUGGCGAAGGCGGACUCACUGGACCGGAACUGACGCUGAGGCGCGAAAGCGUGGGGAGCAAACAGGG
rnacentral:rRNA from 1 species